ensembl:lncRNA
UGGGUGAAACACUGGCUGGAUGGCUGGGCCCAAAGAGUUGUGGUCAGUGGAGUUAAAUCCAGCUGGCGGCCGGUCAUGAGUGGUGUCCCCCAGGGCUCAGUACUGGGGCUGCUUCUAUUUAACAUCUUUAUUAAUGAUCUUGACGAGGGGAUUGGUGCACCCUCAGUAAGUUUGCAGACGACACCAAGUUGGGAGAGAGUGUUGAUCUGCCUGAGGGGAGAAAGGCACUACAGAGGGACCUGGGUAGACUGGAUCGAUGGGCCAAGGCUAACAGCAUGAGUUUCAAUAGGACCAAGUGUCAGGUCCUGCAUUUUGGUCACAACAACCCCAGGCAACCCUAUGGGCUUGGGGAGGUAUGGCUGGAAAGCUGCUUGAUGGAAAGGGAC